GCGCGGCCUCCGUCGAAUCCGGUACGGCCCCCAGGGGCGAACCGGAGCCGGGGACCCACCGAUCUCCGGGGUGAAUCGACCCGACCGCCCACCCGGGCGAGGGCCGUAGGGCACGCCUUCCGAUACCGCCCGAACCCGUCAGCUAACUCGGUAGGCGGAGCACGGAAGGAGUA
rnacentral:sRNA from 1 species